AACGAACGCUGGCGGCAGGCUUAACACAUGCAAGUCGAGCGCCCCGCAAGGGGAGCGGCAGACGGGUGAGUAACGCGUGGGAAUCUACCGUGCCCUAAGGAAUAGCUCCGGGAAACUGGAAUUAAUACCUUAUACGCCCUUCGGGGGAAAGAUUUAUCGGGGUAUGAUGAGCCCGCGUUGGAUUAGCUAGUUGGUGGGGUAAAGGCCUACCAAGGCGACGAUCCAUAGCUGGUCUGAGAGGAUGAUCAGCCACAUUGGGACUGAGACACGGCCCAAACUCCUACGGGAGGCAGCAGUGGGGAAUAUUGGACAAUGGGCGCAAGCCUGAUCCAGCCAUGCCGCGUGAGUGAUGAAGGCCCUAGGGUUGUAAAGCUCUUUCACCGGUGAAGAUAAUGACGGUAACCGGAGAAGAAGCCCCGGCUAACUUCGUGCCAGCAGCCGCCGUAAGAC
rnacentral:rRNA from 1 species